CACGUAGGAGGCAAACGUUAUCCGGAUUUACUGGGCGUAAAGCGCAUGUAGGUGGUUCUGUAAGUAGGGCGUGAAAGCUCCCGGCUCAACUGGGAGAGGCCGUUCUAAACUGCAGAGCUAGAGGAUGGUAGAGGGAGGUGGAAUUCCAGGUGUAGCGGUGGAAUGCGCAGAUAUCUGGAGGAACACCAGUGGCGAAGGCGGCCUCCUGGACCAUUCCUGACACUCAGACGCGAAAGCUAGGGUAGCAAACGGGAUUAGAUACCCGGGUAGU
rnacentral:rRNA from 1 species